rnacentral:rRNA from 1 species
GACGAAGGGGGCUAGCGUUGCUCGGAAUCACUGGGCGUAAAGGGUGCGUAGGCGGGUCUUUAAGUCAGGGGUGAAAUCCUGGAGCUCAACUCCAGAACUGCCUUUGAUACUGAGGAUCUUGAGUACGGGAGAGGUGAGUGGAACUGCGAGUGUAGAGGUGAAAUUCGUAGAUAUUCGCAAGAACACCAGUGGCGAAGGCGGCUCACUGGCCCGUUACUGACGCUGAGGCACGAAAGCGUGGGGAGCAAACAGG